rnacentral:piRNA from 1 species
UGAUAUAUACUGCCGUCUUCC